GACGAACGCUGGCGGCGUGCUUAACACAUGCAAGUCGAACGGUGAAGGGGAGCUUGCUCCCCGGAUCAGUGGCGAACGGUGAGUAACACGUGGGCAACCUGCCCCAGACUUCGGGAUAACGCUUCGAAAGAGGUGCUAAUACCGGAUACGAACUCCUUGGGCAUCCCGGGAGUUGGAAAGUUUUUUCGGUCUGGGAUGGGCCCGCGGCCUAUCAGCUUGUUGGUGAGGUAACGGCUCACCAAGGCGACGACGGGUAGCCGGCCUGAGAGGGCGACCGGCCACACUGGGACUGAGACACGGCCCAGACUCCUACGGGAGGCAGCAGUGGGGAAUAUUGCGCAAUGGGCGAAAGCCUGACGCAGCAACGCCGCGUGAGGGAUGACGGCCUUCGGUGUAACCUCUUCAGCAGGAAGAAGCGAAAGUAGACGGUACCUGCAGAAGAAG
rnacentral:rRNA from 1 species